rnacentral:lncRNA from 1 species
GGAUCAGUAGAGGGUCUACUCUGGACAGUUGAUAAGGAUCUGUUGUGGGUCUACUCUGGACAGUUGAUAAGGAUCAGUAGUGGGUCUACUCUCUCCAGUUAAUAAGGAUCAGUAGUGGUCUACUCUGGACAGUUGAUAAGGAUCAGUAGAGGGUCUACUCUGGACAGUUUAUAAGGAUCAGUACUGGAUCUACUCUGGACAGUUUAUAAGGAUCAGUAGUGGGUCUAGUCUGGACAGUUGAUAAGGAUCAGUAGUGUGUCUAGUCUGGCCAGUUUAUAAGGAUCAGUAGUGGGUCUUGUCUGGACAGUUGAAAAGGAUCAGUAGUGGGUCUACUCUGGACAGUUGAUAAGGAUCAGUAGUGGGUCUAUUCUGGACAGCUGAUAAGGAUCAGUAGUGGGUCUACUCUCCACAGUUGAUAAGGAUCAGUAGUGGGUCUACUCUGGACAGUUGAUAAGGAUCAGUAGUGGGUCUACUCUCUACAGUUUAUAAGGAUCAGUAGUGGGUCUACUCUGGACAGUUGAUAAGGAUCAGUAGUGGGUCUACUCUGGACAGUUUAUAAGGAUCAGUAGUGGAUCUACUCUGGACAGUUUAUAAGGAUCAGUUGUGGGUCUACUCUGGACAGUUGAUAAGGAUCAGUUGUGGGUCUACUCUCCACAGUUGAUUUGGAUCAGUAGUGGGUCUACUCUGGACAGUUGAUAAGGAUCAGUAGUGGGUCUACUCUGGACAGUUGAUAAGGAUCAGUAGUGGGUCUACUCUGGACAGUUGAUAAGGAUCAGUAGUGGGUCUACUCUGGACAGUUGAUAAGGAUCAUUAGUGGGUCUACUCUGGAAAGUUGAUAAGGAUCAGUAGUGGGUCUACUCUGGACAGUUUAUAGAAAGGCAUAGUACAUGACCGCCUGGAUGGAUUUUUACGUGUGAUGUUGAUAUGCUGUAGGUGGCGGAUCGUCAUUCUCCCAUAGGUCCGUUAUUCAGAUCCGUUAUUCAGGCACGCUUAUCACACGUUCUGCCUCCUCUCCGAUCCAAGUGGCUUUUCCUCGACCUAGAACCUAACACUUCAAAAUAUAGCUUCAAUAUUUUUCAUUUCACUUUUAAAAUGUAUGAGCCUUUUUAUGUGUGGCAAUAAACACAACGAGUCACAAUGUUUUCAUAUGAUGAAGGCUACUUCUAAAGUCUCGUUCCAUGGUGGACAGGCAGGGAGAGUCUCGUUCCAUGGUGGACAGGCAGGGAGAGUCUCGUUCCAUGGUGGACAGGCAGGGAGAGUCUCGUUCCAUGGUGGACAGGCAGGGAGAGUCUCGUUCCAUGGUGGACAGGCAGGGAGAGUCUCGUUCCAUGGUGGACAGGCAGGGAGAGUCUCGUUCCAUGGUGGACAGACAGGGAGAGUCUCGUUCCAUGGUGGACAGACAGGGAGAGUCUCGUUCCAUGGUGGACAGACAGGGAGAGUCUCGUUCCAUGGUGGACAGACAGGGAGAGUCUCGUUCCAUGGUGGACAGACA